rnacentral:rRNA from 1 species
UGGGGAAUAUUGCACAAUGGGCGCAAGCCUGAUGCAGCCAUGCCGCGUGUGUGAAGAAGGCCUUCGGGUUGUAAAGCACUUUCAGCGAGGAGGAAGGUGGUGAGCUUAAUACGCUCAUCAAUUGACGUUACUCGCAGAAGAAGCACCGGCUAACUCCGUGCCAGCAGCCGCGGUAAUACGGAGGGUGCAAGCGUUAAUCGGAAUUACUGGGCGUAAAGCGCACGCAGGCGGUUUGUUAAGUCAGAUGUGAAAUCCCCGGGCUCAACCUGGGAACUGCAUUUGAAACUGGCAAGCUAGAGUCUCGUAGAGGGGGGUAGAAUUCCAGGUGUAGCGGUGAAAUGCGUAGAGAUCUGGAGGAAUACCGGUGGCGAAGGCGGCCCCCCUGGACGAAGACUGACGCUCAGGUGCGAAAGCGUGGGGCAGCAAACAGGAUUAGAUACCCUGGUAGUCCAGCGCUGUAAAACGAUGUCGAUUUGGAGGUUGUGCCCUUGAGGCGUGGCUUCCGGAGCUAACGCGUUAAAUCGACCGCCUGGGGGAGUACGGCCGCAAGGUU